UCACUUCACCCAAGGGCCAGUGUGCAUGCGGGGGGAAUUCGAAUUGCCCUCUGGAUGUACACAGUCACUCAACCAGCAAGCCUCAAAUCCUCUGCCAUUCAUAAUUUUGUGUGGAGGACUAACAGUGCAGUGAUCUGUGGAAUAUUAUCUAAAAGAUCAGUGUUAGGGUUGCAGUUUGACCACUGAAUUUGAGCAAAUAAUUUGAGGCUUAAUUUUAUGAUGACACCAAGGCAAGCCAUUUGAAAGCCAAGGGUCUUCGGGGGGGUUUUUGUUUACAUUAUGAAGAGGUUAACACAGUCCACAGUCCUGCAGGCAAAAAACACAGACUGGAAAUACAUUGAUUAUGCACCAGAGGUUGGUUGUUGUUACAUCAUACCUCAGGCAGGCUAAGAACAGGUCAGCUGCACAGCUGCUGGAGCCUGGGCCAGACUAAGGACCCGAUGGAGAACCAUGUGUCAAUGGAUGUGGAGAGACACAUUUACUGCAUCCAGUCGAGUGUGGAGUCAUCUGGCCUCUUGAGAAUUCAAUUGCCUGUGGUUCCUUGUUGUAGUAAAUUAGAGCUAACUGGUGGGAAGUGGCUACUGCUCACACAUGACAUUUCUGAAAGUCUCGAAACAGGAUCUAGGAGACUGAGAAGAAUUGCUGCAAGCAAGAAGGAGAACAAGCGAUCUUCCUCCAGAACCUUUCUCUGCUGAAGACUAGAAUGGCCAGUUGUGGGUCGUGUUUCUGGUGCAUCAUCUGGCUGGUGAUUCUGCUCUUCCUUGGCUGGCCCCUUGGCAUCACCUUAGGCGGUCUCUAUGGUCUCAUCAGCCCUCUCACCACCUGUCUCGGCCUAGACCGACUGUCCGAUCUACUCUUAGAGGGGGCCAACCUGGGACGAACCUGUGCCCAGAACAUGAGGCACGGAAAGCCUUUGUGUUGAGAUCUACCCAUAGUGAGCAGGACCGGACAACACUGGGACCGAACACAAGAUUGUUGCUUUUCUACAGAGAAAAAGCCUUCACUUUUAAGAAAAAAAAAAACUGUCAAUGUCUGUUUUAUGUGAAGACAUCCUGAGAUGAUUGGCACUCAAUACAGUUUGAAACUUUUCAGCAAGUUAUGUAACAAAAAGGUCUGCAAGGUCUGGAAAAUGGAUUCCACUAGUUCUGUUAACAUGUAAUUAACCAUGGAUUUCAAAUUUGUAUGAGUUUGUCAGGAAGGAAAUAGGCUUUGUGCUCAUGGUCUGUGUUUGCUGUUUAAUUCACGAUGACACUGCAUGGAGAAGAUAAGAAUGAAAAUGGCAAUUUAACAAUGGCAAUGCUUAGACUUGUAAAUGACUGUAUGGAAACUUAUAAUGCGAUUAAAACUGCUUUGAACUUGC